rnacentral:rRNA from 1 species
UACGUAGGCAGCAAGCGUUGUUCGGAGUUACUGGGCGUAAAGGGUGUGUAGGCGGUCUCGUAAGUCUGGUGUGAAAUCUCCCGGCUCAACUGGGAGGGUGCGCCGGAAACUGCGAGGCUAGAGUGUGGGAUGGGAGAGUGGAAUUCAUGGUGUAGCAGUGAAAUGCGUAGAGAUCAUGAGGAAGACCAGUGGCGAAGGCGGGUCUCUGGACAGUUCCUGACACUGAGGCACGAAGGCCAGGGGAGCAAACGGG